GCAUAACCGUAAACUGAUAAAUCAUUUACAUUACGUCCGCCGGGGAAUUACAAGCACCUAGCUCAAAACCCAAAGGACUUGGCGGUGCUUUAAACCCACCUAGAGGAGCCUGUUCUAGAACCGAUAAACCCCGUUAAACCUCACCCUCCCUUGCCAGAAACCCGUCUAUAUACCGCCGUCGUCAGCUUACCCCGUGAAGGUAUUGUAGUGAGCAAAAUUGGCCCACCCCAAAACGUCAGGUCGAGGUGUAGUACAUGAGAGGGGAAGAAAUGGGCUACAUUCGUCUACUGACGAAAACGAACGAUUAAAUUGAAAACAUAUAUCCGAAGGAGGAUUUAGUAGUAAGAAGGUAAUAGAGAGUCCUUCUGAAAAUGGCCCUGAAGCGCG
rnacentral:rRNA from 1 species